CCCCCGGGAUGAUCAGCUCCGCCUCUCACUCAAUUAUUUUAUUAUCAAGAGAUUAAUGAACAUAAAAUGGAUUGGAUUAAUUGCAACUCGUGCUGUCGACAACCGGGAGAUGAAAAAGAACGAACCUUUGUUCUUACAAGUUGUGGGCACAUCUUCUGUGAUCUGUGCCUUAGACAAGGCGAGUCGCGUGACAAGUGUGCAGCGUGUUCUUCACAAUGCCAGUUAAUCCAGUUAUCAUCUAAGAUGAAGCCAGAUGCAGAAAUGUUCUUUUUGGAGCCAGCAGUACUGUUUAAGAGGCAUUACACACAGAUGAACCGGCUACUGGACUUCCAGAAAGAUCAUCGUGUUCGUCUUGUUUCAUUCCACAGGAGAGUUCUGCAGAAGUACAAAUCACUAGAAAAACAGAAUUCAUCAACUCUCAGUCACAUGCAAGAGCUAGAGAAAAAGUACACUGCAGCCAAGACUCGCAUCCAAGAGUUAGAGGCUGAAAACCAGAAGCUUCGCAAUAUGGUGUCCACUGCAGGUGGUGCUGGGAGGCCCAGUUCUCUGGGUCAUCAUUCAUCUUUUCUUGAAUCUUACCCGAGGCCAGCCACCUCCAACAAACACUCUCCACAACAAAUAAAUGGUCCUCAGGUGUCUCCUGGAGGAACGAGAAUUAGCCCUGGACGUCUUACCCUUGUUAAAACAAACCACGGAUCUGUUUUGGGUGUUCAUAACCGUAGUCCUACAAAUGUACCUGCAACUACCUCAGCACAUGCAAUACCAUAUGGGACAGUCCAAACUCCCAGAACACCAGUCAGUCAGCAUUCUUCGCCUCCUCAACCGUACCACGUAAUUGGCCACCAGAAUCAGCAAGUCCUACACUCAAAUAAUGGAUUACAUAUUUCCACACCUAACAGACAUGGAGUUGAAGCUCUUCUACAUUGUGUAUUGGGCGGACUACAAAAAGUUGAAGUGGAGGUGACACCAUCAUCUUUGUCUUCAUGGCUGGAGACAUGCUGAUGCUUGGCUGGACGUGGUGCUGAGACAGCAAAGUUUUGUCUAUUAAUGCCACCACGAAAGCCGCUCACAUUGGCUUCAUCUACACUACUUGUAUCUGCACCCAGAAAGAGAGUCAUCUCCCACAUUAUCACAGCAUUCAGGAAUGGCAGAUGGUGCAGGUGAUGGUGAUAAUAGUAGUGGUGUUAACGAGAUGCCCGUACUGUACACACUGCCUCUAUCAUCGUCAUCAAUGUCCGUAUCGCUCGUAUCCGACGUUGUGUUAGGUCAUUAUCAGGUCUUGGGUCAUCAACAUCACUAUAAGGGUCCUAUCAAAAUAAUACUUGUAUUAUUAUAGGCUUGUAUUUAAUCCUUAGAGAGUGAUUUUUAAACCAUGUAACCCAUUAGUGGACUGGGAGCUCAAGAUGUACGUGUCAGCCAUGGUUGCUAGCUUGGAAAUGAGCCUACCCUUACUCGUGGAGUAUGCUGGGAAUUUGUUUCAAGAUGGCUGAUGCUCAGUGGAGGCCUCAGGCUUCUAUCUGCUAUCCAACUUACUGUGCAGGAGUUUUGAGUUAUGAUAUACAGUACUGGUACUAACAAAUGUCAUAUGUAGGGUGGCACAGACUCUUUACCCCAUGAUAUCAAGGUUUGCACAAUAGAGUGGUUUAUGCAGCCACAUUUUUAAGUGUUAAGAAAUGUUUGUAGACCACCACCUCAUUCCAUUAACCAUACCUAAUUAAACUUUGUUUUAGGGACAGUGAUCCCUAAGCUAUUAAAGUGUAGGUAUGGUAGUUAAAUGAAAGAACCUCCCUAAUCAAAUUAUCCAAGUCUCGCCAUAAUCGUAUAAAAGGGGGCUACUGUAGACACACCAGAAGCAUGUUGUUAAAAGUGCUAACUUAGGAAAUACCUAUAAAGACAAUGUAAUUGGCAAAAAAAUGUUUAAUCAUACAAUAUGUAAAUACAGUAAUGUAAUAGAUAUGAGCUACUUAAAUCUUGCAAUAAGAAUAUAAACACCAAAUUAUUGAUGAAUUUGUGUAUUAAAAUGAGGCUUAUAAAUUUUAAGGUAUUGGCUACUUCAGGAGUCAAAGUCCCUCACCUACCAGGACAUAUUCACCGACAAGAAGUGUCUCGGGUUCACUGAACAAACUAUCUUUAUUACCACCGAAUCAGCUUCAGGCAAUAAGUCCGGGUUUAAAGCCACUUCAGGU
rnacentral:misc_RNA from 1 species